rnacentral:tRNA from 1 species
GGAUCGGUAGUCUAGUGGCUAGGAUGACGCUCUCACACAGCGUAAAGAUGAUUUCAUCUCGCUAAGGUCAUGGGUUCGAAUCCCAUCCGAUCCACUA